GACGAACGCUGGCGGCGUGCCUAAUACAUGCAAGUAGAACGCUGAAGAGAGGAGCUUGCUCUUCUUGGAUGAGUUGCGAACGGGUGAGUAACGCGUAGGUAACCUGCCUUGUAGCGGGGGAUAACUAUUGGAAACGAUAGCUAAUACCGCAUAACAAUGGAUGACACAUGUCAUUUAUGUGAAAGGGGCAAUUGCUCCACUACAAGAUGGACCUGCGUUGUAUUAGCUAGUAGGUGAGGUAACGGCUCACCUAAGCGACGAUACAUAGCCGACCUGAGAGGGUGGUCGGCCACACUGGGACUGAGACACGGCCCAGACUCCUACGGGGGGCAGCAGUAGGGAAUCUUCGGCAAUGGGGGCAAACCUGACCGAGGAACGGCGCGUGGGUGAAGGAGGUUUUUGGAGCGUAAAGCUCUGUUGUAAGUCAAGAACGAGAGUGGGAGUGGAAAGUUCACACUGUGACGGUAGCUGACCAGAAAGCGACGGCUAACUACGUG
rnacentral:rRNA from 1 species